CCGCUACCACGCGAGUGGAUGCCAAUCCCUAAAACCCCUCUCAGUUCGGACUGGAGUCUGCAACCCGACUCCACGAAGCUGGAUUCGCUAGUAAUCGCGCAUCAGCCACGGCGCGGUGAAUACGUUCCCGGGCCUUGUACACACCGCCCGUCAAGCCAUGGGAGCCGGGGGUACCUGAAGUGCGUAACCGCGAGGAUCGCCCUAGGGUAAAACUGGUGACUAGGGCUAAGUCGUAACAAGGUAUC
rnacentral:rRNA from 1 species